GUCAACCACCCAUCACUAAUCGGAGUACCGAUAUAGUGAAGGCUUGAAAGAGCCUAGUUGACCAGCUUAAGUACUUCGAGUACUACGUUUUGAGCUAGAGUUAAAGACCUACCAGGGGAUACGUAGCCAGUUUCCUGCACUAGA
rnacentral:sRNA from 21 species